rnacentral:rRNA from 1 species
ACAUCCAGCGAAUUCGGUAGAGAUACCUUUAGUGCCUUCGGGAACGCUGAGACAGGUGCUGCAUGGCUGUCGUCAGCUCGUGUUGUGAAAUGUUGGGUUAAGUCCCGCAACGAGCGCAACCCUUAUCCUUUGUUGCCAGCGGUCCGGCCGGGAAACUCAAAGGAGACUGCCAGUGAUAAACUGGAGGAAGGUGGGGAUGACGUCAAGUCAUCAUGGCCCUUACGAGUAGGGCUACACACGUGCUACAAUGGCGCAUACAAAGAGAAGCGACCUCGCGAGAGCAAGCGGACCUCAUAAAGUGCGUCGUAGUCCGGAUUGGAGUCUGCAACUCGACUCCAUGAAGUCGGAAUCGCUAGUAAUCGUAGAUCAGAAUGCUACGGUGAAUACGUUCCCGGGCCUUGUACACACCGCCCGUCACACCAUGGGAGUGGGUUGCAAAAGAAGUAGGUAGCUUAACCUUCGGGAGGGCGCUUACCACUUUGUGAUUCAUGACUGGGGUGAAGUCGUAACAAGGUAAGCGUAGCGAG